AUUGAACGCUGGCGGCAGGCCUAACACAUGCAAGUCGAACGAGUGGCGGACGGGUGAGUAAUGUCUGGGAAACUGCCUGAUGGAGGGGGAUACCUACUGGAAACGGUAGCUAAUCCCGCAUACCAUCAGAUGUGCCCAGAUGUGAUUAGCUUGUUGGUGGGGUAACGGCUCACCAAGGCGACGAUCCCUAGCUGGGCUGAGAGGAUGACCAGCCACACUGGAACUGAGCCACGGUCCAGACUCCUACGGGAGGCAGCAGUGGGGAAUAUUGCACAAGGGGCGCAAGCCUGAUACAGCCAUGCCGCGUGUAUGAAGAAGGCCUUCGGGGUGUAAAGUACUUUCAGCGUGGAGGCGGUAACCGCAGAAGAAGCACCGGCUAACUCCGUGCCAGCAGCCGCGGUAAUUC
rnacentral:rRNA from 1 species